GAGUUUGAUCCUGGCUCAGAGUGAACGCUGGCGGUAGGCCUAACACAUGCAAGUCGAACGGCAGCACAGAGGAGCUUGCUCCUUGGGUGGCGAGUGGCGGACGGGUGAGGAAUACAUCGGAAUCUACUCUGUCGUGGGGGAUAACGUAGGGAAACUUACGCUAAUACCGCAUACGACCUACGGGUGAAAGCAGGGGAUCUUCGGACCUUGCGCGAUUGAAUGAGCCGAUGUCGGAUUAGCUAGUUGGCGGGGUAAAGGCCCACCAAGGCGACGAUCCGUAGCUGGUUGAGAGGAUGAUCAGCCCACUGGAACUGAGACACGGUCCAGACUCCUACGGGAGGCAGCAGUGGGGAAUUUGGACAAUGGGCGCAAGCCUGAUCCAGCCAUACCGCGUGGGUGAAGAAGGCCUUCGGGUUGUAAAGCCCUUUUGUUGGGAAAGAAAUCCAGCUGGUUAAUACCCGGUUGGGAUGACCGUACCCAAAGAAUAAGCACCGGCUAACUUCGUGCCAGCAGCCGCGGUAAUACGAAGGGUGCAAGCGUUACUCGGAAUUACUGGGCGUAAAGCGUGCGUAGGUGGUCGUUUAAGUCCGUUGUGAAAGCCCUGGGCUCAACCUGGGAACUGCAGUGGAUACUGGGCGACUAGAAUGUGGUAGAGGGUAGCGGAAUUCCUGGUGUAGCAGUGAAAUGCGUAAAGAUCAGGAGGAACAUCCAUGGCGAAGGCAGCUACCAGGACCAACAUUGACACUGAGGCACGAAAGCGUGGGGAGCAAACAGGAUAAAUACCCUGGUAGUCCACGCCCUAAACGAUGCGAACUGGAUGUUGGGGGCAAUUUGGCACCCAGUACCAAACCUAACCCGUUAAGUUCCCCCCCUGGGGAGAACGUCGCAAGACUGAAACUCAAAGGAAUUGACGGGGGCCCGCACAAGCGGUGGAGUAUGUGGUUUAAUUCGAUGCAACGCGAAGAACCUUACCUGGCCUUGACAUGUCGAGAACUUUCCAGAGAUGGAUGGGUGCCUUCGGGAACUCGAACACAGGUGCUGCAUGGCUGUCGUCAGCUCGUGUCGUGAGAUGUUGGGUUAAGUCCC
rnacentral:rRNA from 1 species